CAGCAGCCACGGUAAUACGCAGGGUGCAAGCGUUACUCGGAAUUACUGGGCGUAAAGCGUGCGUAGGUGGUGGUUUAAGUCCGUUGUGAAAGCCCUGGGCUCAACCUGGGAAUUGCAGUGGAUACUGGGUCACUAGAGUGUGGUAGAGGAUAGUGGAAUUUCCGGUGUAGCAGUGAAAUGCGUAGAGAUCGGAAGGAACAUCUGUGGCGAAGGCGACUAUCUGGGCCAACACUGACACUGAGGCACGAAAGCGUGGGGAGCAAACAGGAUUAGAUACCCCCGUAGUCCCUGUCUCUUAUAC
rnacentral:rRNA from 1 species